GACGAACGCUGGCGGCGGGCUUAACACAUGCAAGUCGAACGGAAAAAGCCUGCUUGUUCGUGGUUCUCGAGGCGGAAGGGGGUGUAAAGCACGGGAGUAAGCUUGGCAGUGGGGGGGAACGACCGGAAAAAGGUGGGACUACUGCAUGAGACGAGCGGGUGCAGGAGGGGGGGGUUUGGAAAGUUUGCUCUCAGAGGAGCGUAGGUCGGAUUAGCUAGUUGGUGGGGUGAAGGCCUGCCAAGGCGACCAUUCGCGGCUGGUCUGAGAGGAGGAUCAGUCACACUGGAACUUAGACACGGUCCAGACUCCUACGGGAGGCAGCAGUGGGGAAUAUUGGACAAUGGGCGAAAGCCUGAUCCAGCCAUGCCGCGUGUGUGAAGAAGGUCUUCGGGUUGUAAAGCACGUUAAGUUGGGAGGAAGGGCAGUAAGUUAAUACCUUGCUGUUUUGACGUUACCAACAGAAUAAGCACCGGCUAACUUCGUG
rnacentral:rRNA from 1 species